CACGGCUUCGUCAAGAGCGAGCCAGGUGACCUGCUGGCGGCAGGUCACGAAAGCUCGGGUGGUGGACGGUCACGUCGAGGUGCGCGCCCUCGCGCCGUGC
rnacentral:tRNA from 1 species